rnacentral:rRNA from 1 species
AUCGCCAGGGUAUUACGAGUCUAAACUUAAAACCCAAAGGACUUGACGGUGCCCCACCCCCCACUAGAGGAGCCUGUGCUACAAUCGAUUAUGCCCGCUAAACCCAACUGCUUUUUGAUUAAUCAGCUUGUAUACUUCCGUCGUAAGCUCACCAUGUUGAAUCGAUAUUAUAGUGAGCCUAAAGGAUUUACUCCCCCAUACGUCAGGUCAAGGUGCAGCCCACAAAGCAGACAGUAAUGGGCUACAGUUUCUACGAUAGAACCCACGAAAAACCAUAUGAAAUAUGGUCACGAAGUAGGAUUUAGAAGUAAAAAGAAAAUAAAUUGUUCUUUUUAACAUAAGGUGCUGGGGCGCGUACAAACCGCCCGUCACCCUCUUCAACCAAACCUAAUUGAUUAAUAACCCAACAAUUUAACACAGAA